rnacentral:rRNA from 1 species
UACGAAGGGGGCUAGCGUUGCUCGGAAUCACUGGGCGUAAAGGGUGCGUAGGCGGGUUUUUAAGUCAGGGGUGAAAUCCUGGAGCUCAACUCCAGAACUGCCUUCGAUACUGGCGAUCUUCGAGUCCGGGAGAGGUGAGUGGAACUCCGAGUGUAGAGGUGAAAUUCGUAGAUAUUCGGAAGAACACCAGUGGCGAAGGCGGCUCACUGGCCCGGUACUGACGCUGAGGUGCGAAAGCGUGGGGAGCAAACAGG